rnacentral:tRNA from 3 species
GGGGCCGUCGUCUAGCUUGGAUUAGGAUGCCAGCCUGGGGCGCUGGUGGUCCCGGGUUCAAAUCCCGGCGGCCCCACCA